rfam:Larimichthys crocea isolate SSNF unplaced genomic scaffold scaffold107, whole genome shotgun sequence.
AAUAAUCUACUCUGUAUGUCGCUUUGGAUAAAAGCGUCUGCUAAAUGUAAUGUA